rnacentral:rRNA from 1 species
GACGAACGCUGGCGGCGUGCUUAACACAUGCAAGUCGAACGGAGUGGCGAACGGGUGUGUAACACGUGUGUGACCUGCACUUCACUUCGGGGUAAGCCUUGGAAAAUGGGUCUACUAACGGGUAGUGUGGGUUGGGCCUGCGGCCGAUCAGCUUGUUGGUGGUGUACUUGCCUACCAAGGCGGCGACGGGUAGCCGGCCUGAGAGGGUGGACGGCGAACAUGGGACUGAGAGAGGUCCCAGACGCGUACGGGAAGAAGCAGUGGGGAAUAGUGCACAAGGGGCGGAAGUCUGAUGCAGGGACGCCGCGGGGGGGAUGACGGUCUUCGAGUUGUAAACUCCUUGCACCGUAGACGCGGUAGAUGGAGAAGAAGCACCGGCUAACUACGUGCCAGCAGCCGCGGUAAUAC